rnacentral:lncRNA from 1 species
GCAAACUACGAUUUUCAAGUUAAUUAUUUUCCUAAAAUUUGAAAUUACAUGGGAGAGUUCAACUAUUAUGGAAUGGAUUAUUGUCAACAAAAUAUACAUUUAAUUAAGCUAAGUUCAAGUUAUUGAUGAUUUGUGACUCACUGGAAAUUUGGAUUUAAUUACGUGUUUGAUAAUGUUUUGGAGAAACUCAAUUUUAAGAGAGGCGGUCAUUUAAUGGUGAAGGGGAAAAUCUAGCAAGGUGCUCACAUGUUGCCUUAUGAAUCAGACAAGAAGGGCGGAUGGGCUUAAGUUGAAGCCCAUUACGUGAAAGCAUUUCUGAUGUAACAGGCCCUCCUGCGUAUGAAAUUACAGGCUUCUAAAUGGGCUUAUAACUGAGCCCAAACAUGUAUUUAGGUUCAAAGUCUUUAAGACUCCAAUCCGAUAGUAUAACCUCUCAUGGGCCAAUUUUUCAGGCCUAAUAACUAUUCAACUUGGCAUUAACACAUGAUUCUCAUAAGAAAUUAACUAUUUCAAACAUUAAUACUGAUCGUCCAAACUCUAACAUUACAAUAAAAUAAUUUUGAGUUUUGGUUCACAAUAACAAACCACUUCUAUGAAGUAAUAUUCUCCACUUCUGAAACUAAACUGUGUAACAAACAAAAUUGAAACAACCAGACUUGUGACUCUUAUGCCUUUGAUUUUAACCUGAAUUCAACACAUAAUCUCUAUCCUCAUAUAUUAAGAGUGUCAGCAGUAGGCAGAUUAAAUCCAAACUUCAUGAAUUCACUAAAUGCUCGACUAACAACAUCAUGAGAUGUUCAAAUGUGCGAUAUGUUGACUACCUAGCAUGCCUCAUUAGGAAACAUGACUGUCAGUAGCAAAAUGACCAGUUUGUGAGUGAUUUCACUCUAAGUUUAAGCUAAAUAGCCAAUCAAACAGAAAUAGGUAACAAUGGAGAAAUAUAGGUAAUAUAAUUUUGGUAAACAAACAAAGUCAUGAAGAAAAUCAAACACAUAUUGUAGCAAUGAUUCAAAUUUUAUUACAAACCAACAGAAAAUUAACUUUUUUGACAAAUCAGAGACUUGAAUUCAUGAUUCAGUAUUUGGUGUGUAGAAAACAGCUUAGAAAAUGCCAAAUAAAUAUUUAGUGAAAGAAAUUUGAAGCUCAGCAAACAGCUCCAGUAACGAUCAGCAGUGAACAACUCUUUCAAGCACAAAAUAGUCUUCUAAAUCCUAGAAGGUAUGGAGUAAUGAACAGAAAUUGAAAGCAACUUUUGAAACUCUUUUUUUGGGUAGUUUUUGUUUAAAUUUCUAAAGUUUGGUUCUUCAGAUCUGAAAUUUUAUGUUCUCAAAUUUCAGACCUCUUUCUAAACGUGUGAGAGAGAGAGUGAGUGAAUGGAGAGUGAGUCUGUGAAUGCCUGUGAGUGUAGAAUGUGUGUCUGAGGUAUGCAAAAAUGAGAGAAUUUAUAGAAAAUGGCAGGCCUAAAUUUGGAGGAAAAAAACAUCUUUUGUAAUAGAUUAUUUUUACAGUUGUGCCUUCUGUUAUUUCUCUUUCCUUCUUAGUCCUUUUCUUUUCUGUAUUUACUCCUUUUAGCCCCAAAUCCCACGACCUCCCUCUUUUCUUUAUCAUUUUAUUGAUAUUUGAUCCCUUUCCACACUCUUGUAGAACUUUCCAGUCAAUUAUAUGAAAGAUUCUCUCAAUUUAAUCUCCCAAAUGCCCUUUUAAACUCUAGUUAUUUACCUAAGGUCGUGAUUUCAUGGACCUGAGGUCAUGUGACCUUAGGUCAAAGGCCUAUAGACUUAACUUGAACUCCCAUUCCCCAUUAUCCCAUAUUUCAAUUUGAUAAGCCUAACCAAAUCACACAAAAUGAGGCCCAUUCCUAAACUAAAAUCAAGCGGACGGACUGAACCAGUACUCAUGUUCAAAUGAAAUCAGCAAACAUCAAUUAAUAAUCAAACAAAAUCUAAGACCUAAUUUGAACCUAUAAUUAACUUUAAUCUAAAUAUACAAUAUAAGAUUCAUUAGCUAAUCAAGCAAUCCAUCAACAUUUGAAAUUAAUUAAUAAUUAACAACAGAUAAUUAUCUAUUAUAUACCUAAACAUUUUGAAGAGAAAGGUUACCCCUUGAACGAAUCCUAGCCGGAGCACAAAUUCCAGCAGGCAAUGGCCAGUGCCCCGUGGCAACAAGUUUGAGCUUAGAAGCCCAUCAUGUGAUGCAUGAAAUAUUGUCCAUCGUAAGUCGGAAGAAGACGAUGAAGCGGACUGGUGAUUGAGGUGGUCAACGGUGCUUAACCGUUCACUGGCGACCGCGAACUAUCAUAAAACUGACACAAAAUGAC